UACAGCGGGAAGCCACCUGGCGACAGGGCGCGGAACCCGAAAACCUGUCUCAGUUCGGAUUGGAGUCUGCAACCCGACUCCAUGAAGCUGGAUUCGCUAGUAAUCGCGCAUCAGCCACGGCGCGGUGAAUACGUUCCCGGGCCUUGUACACACCGCCCGUCAAGCCAUGGAAGCCGGGAGUGCCUGAAGUGCGUGACCGCAAGGAGCGUCCUAAGGCAAUACCGGUGACUGGGGCUAAGUCGUAACAAGGUACC
rnacentral:rRNA from 1 species